AACGAACGCUGGCGGCGCGUAUUAAGCACGCAAGUCGAACGGGAACCGCCUCGCAAGGGGCGGGGAGAGUGGCGAACGGGUGAGUAACACGUAGGUGAUCUGUCCCCGGGUGGGGUAUAGCCCAUGGAAACAUGGGGUAAUACCGCAUGAGGUCCUGGAGCUUGAAGGCUUCUGGAUGAAAGGCGCAAUUGGGUUGCCUGGGGAUGAGCCUGCGGCUCAUUAGCUAGUUGGCGGGGUGAGGGCCCACCAAGGCGACGAUGGGUAGCCGGCCUGAGAGGGUGUACGGCCACACUGGGACUGAGACACGGCCCAGACUCCUACGGGAGGCAGCAGCUAAGAAUCUUCCGCAAUGGGGGAAACCCUGACGGAGCGACGCCGCGUGGACGAAGAAGGCCGCAAGGUUGUAAAGUCCUUUUGCAGACGAAGAAUAAGGCUUGGAGUGGAAAGCCAGGCUGAUGACGUUAGUCUGCGAAUAAGCCCCGGCCAAUUACGUGCCAGCCGCCGCAGUAAGAC
rnacentral:rRNA from 1 species